rnacentral:lncRNA from 1 species
CUCUUCUGCCAGCCAGAAGUCCCAUUCCUGCGCCCCUCUCUCUUGCAAGAGACGACGUCUCUUGGCAUGAGAAGACAAACCUCAGAUAUUGCCCCAGACAAUGAUGCUGCUUCAGAAGUGGGGCCAAGUUGGGAGGCCAAAAUGAAGCCAAGUUGAGAGCUAUGGACCAUCUGUUUGAGGAUCUCCCUCCACUCUGCAGGGUUGAGGCUGCCUGGCUGGGGUCCACAUUUCCAAGUCCCCUUUGCGUCUCAGAGAAAGCAGUGACCGGGUUCUGAACUAUGGAAUGAAGGGUCCUGCUCCCAGCUGUGCAAGCUGCAAGGAAGAACGAGCCCCCUCCUCCAAGGCCUCGACGGUCCACUCAGUCACCCACUUAAGAAUUCACCAAAUAAGUAAUGACUAAGUCUGACUGGGAGAAAAUGAAAGCUCUCUUGGAGGGGAAAACAAGUUACUCAUGCAACCAAGAGCAUAUCCUUGGCACCCUCCAUGAGUGGAGCCACGGCAGGAGGGGCAGACAGGAACAAACGGUGGCCAUGAAUCAUGCUGUGUGCGAGCUCCUUUGUUUCUAAGGCAUGUGGUUUCCAGAGAAACCAGGGAACACUGCCUUCAGAAACAAAGUCUCACUUUGCCACCCGGGCUAGUCUUGAACUCCUGGUCUCAAGUGAUCCUCCUGCCUCCACCUCUGAAAGUGCUGGGAUUGCAGGUGUAAUUAAGCACUGUGCCUGGCCUGAAAGUCAUUAUACCACUCAUUUUUAUUAAAAAAAG